rnacentral:tRNA from 1 species
CAUAUUCUAAUAUGGCAGAAUAGUGCAAUGAAUUUAAGCUUCAUAUAUAAAGUUUACUUUUGUUAGAAA